GCCCAGAGGGAUAGCUCAGUCGGUAGAGCAUAAGACUCUUAAUCUCAAGGUUGUGGGUUUGAGUCUCACAUUGGGUG
rnacentral:tRNA from 1 species